rnacentral:rRNA from 1 species
GAUGAACGCUGGCGGCGUGCCUAAUACAUGCAAGUCGAGCGAACGGACGAGCAGCUUGCUUCUCUGAUGUUAGCGGCGGACGGGUGAGUAACACGUGGAUAACCUACCUAUAAGACUGGGAUAACUUCGGGAAACCGGAGCUAAUACCGGAUAAUAUUUUGAACCGCAUGGUUCAAAAGUGAAAGACGGUCUUGCUGUCACUUAUAGAUGGAUCCGCGCCGCAUUAGCUAGUUGGUAAGGUAACGGCUUACCAAGGCAACGAUGCGUAGCCGACCUGAGAGGGUGAUCGGCCACACUGGAACUGAGACACGGUCCAGACUCCUACGGGAGGCAGCAGUAGGGAAUCUUCCGCAAUGGGCGAAAGCCUGACGGAGCAACGCCGCGUGAGUGAUGAAGGUCUUCGGAUCGUAAAACUCUGUUAUUAGGGAAGAACAUAUGUGUAAGUAACUGUGCACGUCUUGACGGUACCUAAUCAGAAAGCCACGGCUAACUACGUG